CGUAGGAUCAUAUCACAAGGGGAUGUAGCUCAGAUGGUAGAGCGCUCGCUUAGCAUGCGAGAGGUACGGGGAUCGAUACCCCGCAUCUCCAU
rnacentral:tRNA from 1 species